rnacentral:rRNA from 1 species
GACGAACGCUGGCGGCGUGCUUAACACAUGCAAGUCGAACGGAAAGGCCCUGCUUUUGUGGGGUGCUCGAGUGGCGAACGGGUGAGUAACACGUGAGUAACCUGCCCUUGACUUUGGGAUAACUUCAGGAAACUGGGGCUAAUACCGGAUAGGAGCUCCUGCUGCAUGGUGGGGGUUGGAUAGUUUCGGCGGUUGGGGAUGGACUCGCGGCUUAUCAGCUUGUUGGUGGGGUAGUGGCUUACCAAGGCUUUGACUGGUAGCCGGCCUGGGAGGGUGACCGGCCACAUUGGUACUGCGAGACGGCCCAGACUCGUACGUGAGGCAGCAGUGGGGAAUAUUGCACAAUGGGCGCAAGCCUGAUGCAGCAACGCCGCGUGCGUGAUGACGGCCUUCGGGUUGUAAACCGCUUUCGCCUGUGACGAAGCGUGAGUGACGGUAAUGGGUAAAGAAGCACCGGCUAACUACGUG